ACCCCAAACCAGCCCAAUAGCCAACAAGCUGACCCGACCCAACUCUAUUUCUCCUUUUUCCCUUUACAGCAAACAACAACUUCCACAAUAUCAACAUACAUACGCACAUAACAACAACACGGCAAAAACCAACUCCUAUCGGCAACAACAUCCAACGACGCCAAUCAACGUUCGGACCACCAGACAAUGAGAAAUCCGAUGGUUCUUUCUCCUCUCUCCCCUACUCUAUUCCCGUCUCCGUCAAAAUCACUUCGAUAACUUUCCCUUCCUUACUUUUUCCGAAAAUAUAGAUCCUAAAAGGGACUCCCUUUUCUCCAUUAUAGACCUCUGAAAAGAGAAAUAUGUAAGCAUUCAAUGGUCCUUGGAGUGUUGUCCCUUUGAUUCAACAAACAAUUAGUUGUUCACCUUGAAGAACUCAAAUGGUUCAAAUCAAAUCUCUACCAAGUCUAAGUCUUUCAAAUCAGUUCCAAAAAGUCAAAGUAUGUGGUGAAAUUGUUCUCCAGCUUAUCAUCUAAGUUCGCUGCUCUGGAGAAGGAAUCUUGGGUCAAGGAAGGCUAGGGUUUCUUCAAUAAGGUCAAUUUGGGUAUUACAAAGGCAGCUUGAAGUGUCUGUGGAAAAAUAUUCAUAACGCAUCAUGGGAGGGUCUAAAUUACGAACAACUUGUGGUGCUGGAAAGUAGACUCGCAAAGCUAUGUUAUAUGAGAAAAUCACACUCAUAUUUUGUCUGGAUCUGCCCAGGUCUUCAAGCACAGAGAGUAUAACUUUAGUCCUUCGCAAAUAUUGUGAACUUUCGUGAUCGUACAACAACAUACCCUUAACUUGAAAUUGGAAACGAUGAAUGAUACUCACCUGCUAGAGUCCUCACUUUGAAGGUUCACCCUCCGGUACUACUAAAAAGUCUUGUUUUAGCCAUGUGAUUUAGUGAGGGACGUUCCCUCACUAAUCAAGAUUUAGUGAGGACAACCGUCAUUACCUGGUGUCUUGCUAAUUUGAGUCAUGCUAAUAAUUAGUGAGGGAGAAUUCAUAAAGUAGUGAAGGACCCCGACACUCAGUCAUCACUAUUUUGGUAUUGUAAUUUCCAGAAAAAUAUAAUGUAGCAAAGGACUUCCCUUGUUAUAUUACAAAUAUAUAUCAUAUUAAUUUAUUAUUUAGUGGGGAAUACCCCUUGCUAUAUUAAAAAUAUAUACAAUAGUAAUUUAUUAUUUAGUGAGGGAUGAUCCUUAAUAAGUGAA